rnacentral:misc_RNA from 1 species
AUGGAGAAUCGUUUCCUGCAACGGAAACAUUCAGUCCCGUCUCUCUCGGGAGUUUAGAAAUCAGAGACUCACUUACUGUUCGGUUUUGAGAGAGGAAAAUCUUUCAAUUCAAACAUGGAUUUUGGGAGUCACGAUCGAAAGAUGAAGAGCUUGUCGCUUAUCGCGGGCAUGCCUUUUGAUCCACACGAAGUGAUGCAACCAAAAGUUGUUCCUUGAAAACUGGAUACCGAAACGAAAAACUUUGCGUCUGGAAUGCUUCUUCUAUCCAAGCUGCUUGUCAGCAAGGGUGAAGCAAGUGAUCCAAUUGAAGUUU